rnacentral:lncRNA from 1 species
AAACAAAAAGAAAAAAGCUAUUGUGACAUUACCCUGUUCCUUUUCUGACAGUAAUACAACCACGAUGCUUGGAAGUGAAGAGUUCAUGGCACUUUCUACCUCUUCCUAACCUUCUUACUAACGCUCUAAUGCAAUUAUGGCAAUCACAUGACCUAAGAAAUUGUUACAUAAUGAUGUACUUAGUAUGUUUAGAUAUGUCAUUGCAAAUAAACCUGGAAUGUAUGGACUUAAGGGACUCACUGAAUGAAGAAUGGCUGAUACAUACAGGAAGCAACUUCUCAUCUGUUCAAGUUUCAUCAUAGGAUUGAAGUAAUUCAGUCACAUCUUCAGGUUUCACUUCUGAUUAUACUUCCCUUGCCAUCUCCAUAACAUCUGCAAUUAGUUGCGUCACUGAAGUCUUGAAUUCCUCCAAGUGAUUCAUGAGUGUUGGAAUCAGCUUCUUCCAAAUCUCUGUCAUCAGGGAUGCAUCUACUUUAUUGGAUGGCAAAAUAGAAAAUGCCUCUUACAAUCGCCACAUAAAAAGGUUACUGAGAAGUGCCACUUGGUUUCAGUGCCUGCAAUAUCAACUCAUCAUUUCUUGGAAAGGAAAAAAGACAGUGAGAGGGCCUACAAAAGAAUUGGUAGUAAACAUGAGUUAUGAAAGUAAGAAUGGAAAAUUGCUUUCAUUUUUCCAGGCUCUACAUCUGCUAUAAUGUAUAGAAGAAAAAAUUCAAGGCUGCAUUAGGUUAACUGAGAUCAGACUAUAAUCCAUUUUAUAGCUUGCCAGUAAUGCAUUGGUUUCCUGUGAAUUAUUUAAUAUCCCAGAAAGUAACUGGGUUUGAACACCCUAACAAGUUUGGCCUCAGUUCAGAGAUUCCAACAGCAAAGGGUAUUGGUGCAGCACUAAGAGAAGGAACCAAGAGUAGUUAGAAAAGGUCAGAUAGAAGCCAGAUCACCCAUAGUAGGAGAAAGUGCAGUGCAAAAGGCCCUUCUCUAGUCAUCUGAAAGAUCGUAUGUUCUUUCCACAUCUCUAUCAAUUUUUGAGCACAUCUUUAAUUUUUGGCUCAAGAAGAUGUUCAAGGCUCCCCUUGUAGCUUUACUUCAUCAGUCCCAGGAUCAGUCAUUUCUUCAAGAAGUUCUGCGUCCUUUGAUGUGAAGAAUAAAGAUCAGGAUCAUUGUUUCUUCUCUUGGUCUUUACAGCAGAC